CACAGAUGAGGUGGAUAUUGGCGUGGGCCAACACAUAAACCUGGUUCUGGACCUGGACAGUGGCGGGCUUGGUCAGCCUGCCAUCUCUCGUCCUCACCACCAGGGGGAGCUCUCCUGCAUUGUCUUGUCGCUAUCAAGACAGAGAACGCAGAGCUUGGGACAGACAGGUCCUGACAUUCCAUCUCAGCUACUGUCCAGCCACUGUCCAAUGACUAUUCUCCUGUCCUCCCGACUCCUCUCCUCUCCUUUCUGUACAGUAGAACCAGCCAGUACCUUCUCUGUAAUUACAUGACUACAACACAAGGUGUCGCUGCAGCGGGAGCAAAGCAAUGGGAGCGAGGCAAAGCAGUCAAGCAAGGCAGAGAUGUUCUCGGCAGUAACCUGGAGCGGAAGUCCAAACUGGCUUCUGGAGCAGAGAUGCUUCUUGGAAAAUGCCAAAGAAGAUUCUGGUCAUAGUUUCUGAUUUUAGGGCCUACUUGUUUUUUUCACACUCUUAGUACUUGAUCCUGCUUUUUAUAUUGAAAGAAGAUACUAAAGAGGCAGGAGAGGCUGAGGGCAAAGAAGAAAUGUAAUGGAUGGCUCAAGGUCCUGGGACAAGUAAAAGGAGAAGACUGGAGUCCUGUGUGUGAGUAGGAAGAUGAGCCCUGAAAGAAAGAAGGGUCCUCUCUUGGCUGAGACUAGGGGGAGUGUGUGGGGGUGUUUGGUGUGUCUGGGCCUGGGGACCUAGAGUGAGGCAGCUAUUUGAGGAAAUCCAAACCAAAGGGCUCAGUGAAAAAGGAUGCACACUUCCCUUGUGAAUGAGAGCCACAGGGGUUAGAAAGAACCACAAAUGGAGCUGUUGUGGAAUAUGAUUUUAACUAUGUAAAGAUGUGUCGCAUCUGUUUCACCUUGCCUGUCUAGGGCGCCUGGUUGGCCUAAUAAAAAGCUGAAUGGCUAAUAGCUAGGCAGGAGAAGGAUAG